rnacentral:rRNA from 1 species
GACGAACGCUGGCGGCGUGCCUAAUACAUGCAAGUAGAACGCUGAAGGAGGAGCUUGCUUCUCUGGAUGAGUUGCGAACGGGUGAGUAACGCGUAGGUAACCUGCCUUGUAGCGGGGGAUAACUAUUGGAAACGAUAGCUAAUACCGCAUAAUAGUAGCUGUUGCAUGACAUUUGCUUGAAAGUUGCAAUUGCAUCACUACCAGAUGGACCUGCGUUGUAUUAGGUAGUUGGUGUGGUAAAGGCUCACCAAGGCGGCGAUACAUAGCCGAACUGAGACGGUGAUGGGCCACACUGGGACUGAGACACGGCCCAGAAGGCUACGGGAGGGAGCAGUAGGGAAUCGGAGGCAAGGGACGGAAGACUGACCGAGAAAGGCCGCGGGAGGGAAGAAGGAUUUCGGAUCGUAGAGCUCGGUUGUAAGAGAAGAACGAGUGUGAGAGUGGAAAGAUCAGACUGUGACGGUAGCGGAUCAGAAAGGGACGGCUAACUACGUG